rnacentral:rRNA from 1 species
GCUAGCGGCAGGCCUAAUACAUGCAAGUACGAGGGGUAUGAUUUUGAGUUUACUUGAAAUCAGAGACACUGGCGCACGGGUGCGUAACACGUAUGCAACCUACCCUUUACAGGGGGAUAGCUCAGAGAAAUCUGAAUUAAUACCCCAUAGUUACAUUUCACUGCAUGGUGAGAUGUAUAAAGCUCCGGCGGUAAAGGAUGGGCAUGCGUUACAUUAGCUAGUUGGUGAGGUAAUGGCUCACCAAGGCUACGAUGUAUAGGGGUUCUGAGAGGAUGAUCCCCCACACUGGUACUGAGACACGGACCAGACUCCUACGGGAGGCAGCAGUAGGGAAUAUUGGACAAUGGACGCAAGUCUGAUCCAGCCAUGCCGCGUGCAGGAUGACAGCCCUCUGGGUUGUAAACUGCUUUUAUAUGAGAAGAAACCCUCAGAUGCGUUUGAGGCUGACGGUAUCAUAUGAAUAAGGAUCGGCUAACUUCGUGCCAGCAGCCCGCGGUAAGACGAAGGAUCCAAGCGUUGUCCGGAUUUACUGGGUUUAAAGGAUGCGUAGGCGGACACUUAAGCCAGUGGUGAAAUCCCAUAGCUCAACUAUGGAACUGCCAUUGGAACUGUGUGUCUUGAAUUC